UACGUAGGGUGCAAGCGUUAAUCGGAAUUACUGGGCGUAAAGCGUGCGCAGGCGGUUUUGUAAGUUUGUCGUGAAAGCCCCGGGCUCAACCUGGGAAUUGCGAUGAAGACUGCAAGGCUUGAAUCUGGCAGAGGGGGGUAGAAUUCCACGUGUAGCAGGUGAAAUGGCGUAGAGAUGUGGAGGAACACCGAUGGCGAAGGCAGCCCCCUGGGUCAAGAUUGACGCUCAUGCACGAAAGCGUGGGGAGCAAACAGG
rnacentral:rRNA from 1 species